CUGCUGUGUUGAUGGACCUCUCGAAAGCCUUUGAUUGCCUUCCCCAUGAUUUGCUAAUUUUAAAACUAAAGGCAUAUGGGUUAUCGGAAACAGCUUUAAGCUUAAUAGACAGCUAUUUAAGUAAAAGAAAACAAUGUGUAAAAGUUGGUAUAGAUAUUAGUACCUGGAAAGAUAUAUAUAAAGGUGUGCCGCAAGGCUCUAUAUUAGGACCUGUACUUUUUAACAUUUUCUUGAAUGACAUUUUUCAUUUUGUUUCAAACAGUUCAUUGUAUAAUUAUGCAGAUGACAAUACUUUAUCAUAUUCACACUCUGAUAUAGACACUGUGGUAAAUAUUUUAGAAAAAGAAAGCUUAGAGCUAAUAAAUUGGUUCAGUCUAAAUCAUAUGAAGGCCAACC
rnacentral:lncRNA from 1 species